GCUCAGCUGACGAGUCCCAAACAGGAUGAAACAGGAUUCCUGGAU
rnacentral:hammerhead_ribozyme from 1 species